rnacentral:rRNA from 1 species
AUGUUCGCGGGAUACGUAGCUACUUUCUCGCUGUUCUAUUCUCACUUCUGCAAGGUGAAGAAGAUGAAUGAGGACGGAGAGGUUGGGGAGACCAAAAUCGUCCCGUUCUAUUUCGUGCUUCUCAGCUGCCUCAUUUGGAUAGCGUACGCCGUGGUUGAUAUCAAGGCCGACUGGGCUGUAUUCAUCUUAAACGCACUAGGGGUUGUGGUGAUGGUCUACUGCAUUUGGUCCUUUGCACGGCUGGAUCAAACCAUCCGCCUCUACGCGUUCAUCUUCGUCCCGGCAGAGGGUCUGGGUGUGGUCAUACUUGCCAUUGCGGUCUACUUCAGCUUCGACACCGUGAACGACAAGAACAUGUGGCUCGGCGUGAUCGGUGGCAUCGCGGGAACUGUCAUGUACAUCGUCAGCAUGGCCACCGAUACACGCACUUUGCUGCAACGCCAGGAGGCUGUGGGACAAGGCAUGCGAGGAGUCCUCCAGGAGCUUCAGUUGCUCUUUGCCUCUAGCGCUAAUGCUGGGUCCUGGUGCAUGUACGGGGUUCUUUACGCUGGGAAUUACGUGGCGAUUGCAAAUGGCAUUGGUUUGGGAUUUUGUGCGCUCCAGUUUGUCAUAUACGGAUGGAUCAAGCUUGGGAUCACUGCAAGAUAG